CGGCCGCACGCUCACAACUUUUGCCUUUAUUGUACACGAAGAGCAAGCAACAGAAGAAUUAUUGGUGUGAUGCAGGCAUUAACAGAGGAAGGGAGAAGAGAUUUAUUGCGAGGAAUGUGACCGUGAAACGCAACUAUUACCACCACUUUUCACCCGUUUUCUGCCAGAUGUACUACUUAUUCGGUCGAGUUGGCUCACUCACUCCGACAAGCUGUCUGCGAUGUAUUUCCGCCAUUUGAAAAGUGGGGUUGAAAUGUGUUAUAUUUCACUGAUAUAUUGACCAUCUUUACGGAUGAUGUUUGAUAAUUUAGUGCUCACAUAUUAUAUAAGAAACAUGCAUGCGAUAUUUCAGGCUUCAAGAGCUAACCGGUUUAAGUCCUGCGCUCUCUGUAAGUGUUGAGAAUAUUAUAUCAGCCCUAUGUUAUAAACUGUUCCACUGCUAGGCACGGGCCUGCUCUAGUAAUGAGAGGGAAUAUUUCUUAGUCCACAAUGCCGCCCUAGUGCAGAUUGGCAGACUUCUCAUUUCCCUAAAAACUCUUAUAGAGAACCUCUCAAGUACGCAGGUUCGUCACGACGUUUUUCUUCACCGCUAAAGUAAACAAUAAUUCUCAAAGAAUAUACACAUAAGAAAAGUCAGAGGUGGGUGCCUUGACUUUUGAACCUGCGGACAUUCGUCCCGGCAGUUUGUCCACUCCCAACUAGGCUAUCGCCGCUACAAGAUGAUUUACUAAGUGAAAUUUCAGAUAAGCUUCAAAUCUAGUUCUAGAUACUUAUUCACCAAUAAGCGUUUCAAUAUCUUUAUAUAUAAUAGAUGCUCUUUAACUAUUUUGGCUAUUCUCAGUUAAAAUAUGUAAUUAUCCAAUACCUUCCUAAGCCUAAAAAGAGACAAAUCCGAACCUGUACUGCACACAAUUUGAAUCGCAUGAACAUAGCUACAGGUAUAUGCGACGGCAGACGUGCGCUACGAUCGAUUUCGUUGAUACUACAAUGUAUUACACAUAGGAGUACGUCCGCCGUAUCCGUCCGGUUAUGAACCUGCGCUUUGAUAUUUCUGCAACCCAAUAAU